rfam:Schistosoma rodhaini strain Burundi genome assembly, scaffold: SROB_scaffold0005212
CUGUCACUGAGGUGUCCUAUAAUAGGACGAAACGGCCGUCCAGUGCUUGCAG